UACGUAGGGGGCAAGCGUUGUCCGGAAUCAUUGGGCGUAAAGAGCGUGUAGGCGGCCCGGUAAGUCCGCUGUGAAAGUCCAGGGCUCAACCCUGGGAUGCCGGUGGAUACUGUCGGGCUCGAGUCCGGAAGAGGAGUGUGGAAUUCCUGGUGUAGCGGUGAAAUGCGCAGAUAUCAGGAGGAACACCAAUGGCGAAGGCAGCAGCUCUGGGACGUGACUGACGCUGAGACGCGAAAGCGUGGGGAGCAAACAGG
rnacentral:rRNA from 1 species